AGAGUUUGAUCCUGGCUCAGAACGAACGCUGGCGGCGUGGAUAAGACAUGCAAGUCGGACGAGACUUUUCGUUGUAGCAAUACGAUGGAAAGUUUAGUGGCGAACGGGUGCUUAACACGUGGGCAACCUGCCAGGAAGUGGGGGAUAGCUCGCCGAAAGGGAAUUAAUACCGCAUGUGAUUAGAGAGGACAUCCCUUCGAAAUUAAAGUCGGGGCAACCUGACGCUUCUUGUGGGGCCCGCGGCCUAUCAGCUAGUUGGUGAGGUAACGGCCCACCAAGGCUUUGACGGGUAGCUGGUCUGAGAGGACGACCAGCCACACUGGGACUGAGACACGGCCCAGACACCUACGGGUGGCAGCAGUCGAGAAUUUUUGACAAUGGGGGAAACCCUGAUCGAGCGACGCCGCGUGGAGGAUGAAGGUCUUCGGAUUGUAAACUCCUGUCAUUGGGGAACAAUGCACAGAUAUUAACUGUAUUUGUGUUGAUAGUACCCGAAGAGGAAGGGACGGCUAACUCUGUGCCAGCAGCCGCGGUAAUACAGAGGUCUCAAGCGUUGUUCGGAUUCAUUGGGCGUAAAGGGUGCGUAGGCGGCGCGGUAAGUCGGGUGUGAAAUCUCGGGGCUUAACUCCGAAACUGCAUUCGAUACUGCCGUGCUUGAGGACUGGAGAGGAGACUGGAAUUUACGGUGUAGCGGUGAAAUGCGUAGAUAUCGUAAGGAAGACCAGUGGCGAAGGCGGGUCUCUGGACAGUUCCUGACGCUGAGGCACGAAGGUCAGGGGAGCAAACGGGAUUAGAUACCCCAGUAGUCC
rnacentral:rRNA from 1 species